GACGAACGCUGGCGGCGUGCCUAAUACAUGCAAGUAGAACGCUGAAGAGAGGAGCUUGCUCUUCUUGGAUGAGUUGCGAACGGGUGAGUAACGCGUAGGUAACCUGCCUUGUAGCGGGGGAUAACUAUUGGAAACGAUAGCUAAUACCGCAUAACAAUGGAUGACACAUGUCAUUUAUUUGAAAGGGGCAAUUGCUCCACUACAAGAUGGACCUGCGUUGUAUUAGCUAGUAGGUGAGGUAACGGCUCACCUAGGCGACGAUACAUAGCCGACCUGAGAGGGUGAUCGGCCACACUGGGACUGAGACACGGCCCAGACUCCUACGGGAGGCAGCAGUAGGGAAUCUUCGGCAAUGGGGGCAACCCUGACCGAGCAACGCCGCGUGAGUGAAGAAGGUUUUCGGAUCGUAAAGCUCUGUUGUAAGUCAAGAACGAGUGUGAGAGUGGAAAGUUCACACUGUGACGGUAGCUUACCAGAAAGGGACGGCUAACUACGUGCCAGCAGCCGCGGUAAUACGUAGGUCCCGAGCGUUGUCCGGAUUUAUUGGGCGUAAAGCGAGCGCAGGCGGUUUGAUAAGUCUGAAGUUAAAGGCUGUGGCUCAACCAUAGUUCGCUUUGGAAACUGUCAAACUUGAGUGCAGAAGGGGAGAGUGGAAUUCCAUGUGUAGCGGUGAAAUGCGUAGAUAUAUGGAGGAACACCGGUGGCGAAAGCGGCUCUCUGGUCUGUAACUGACGCUGAGGCUCGAAAGCGUGGGGAGCGAACAGGAUUAGAUACCCUGGUAGUCCACGCCGUAAACGAUGAGUGCUAGGUGUUGGAUCCUUUCCGGGAUUCAGUGCCGCAGCUAACGCAUUAAGCACUCCGCCUGGGGAGUACGACCGCAAGGUUGAAACUCAAAGGAAUUGACGGGGGCCCGCACAAGCGGUGGAGCAUGUGGUUUAAUUCGAAGCAACGCGAAGAACCUUACCAGGUCUUGACAUCCCGAUGCUAUUUCUAGAGAUAGAAAGUUACUUCGGUACAUCGGUGACAGGUGGUGCAUGGUUGUCGUCAGCUCGUGUCGUGAGAUGUUGGGUUAAGUCCCGCAACGAGCGCAACCCCUAUUGUUAGUUGCCAUCAUUCAGUUGGGCACUCUAGCGAGACUGCCGGUAGUAAACCGGAGGAAGGUGGGGAUGACGUCAAAUCAUCAUGCCCCUUAUGACCUGGGCUACACACGUGCUACAAUGGUUGGUACAACGAGUUGCGAGUCGGUGACGGCAAGCUAAUCUCUUAAAGCCAAUCUCAGUUCGGAUUGUAGGCUGCAACUCGCCUACAUGAAGUCGGAAUCGCUAGUAAUCGCGGAUCAGCACGCCGCGGUGAAUACGUUCCCGGGCCU
rnacentral:rRNA from 1 species